GGGGCUAUAGCUCAGCUGGUAGAGCACUAGCAUGGCAUGUUAGGGGUCAGCGGUUCGAACCCGCUUAGCUCCACCA
rnacentral:tRNA from 1 species